CGCGCGCAAGUGGAGGGAGAUGGCGGCCAGGAAGGAGGAACUCCUACUGCGGAGCCGGGGCCGAGUCGCGUGGACGAUCGUCGCGCUUUGCUGCGGCUCGCAUGCGUCCCACAUCCUGCACUCGCUCGGUAUCCAUGUCGGCCACGGAACGUUUUUUGGAUCUGUUGCAUAAUCCUUAUGUGAAAUGUGGCAUUGCUACAACUGCUUUGUUUGGGCUUGGAAGAGGGAUUAACAGACUUGUCCUGAAGGGCAUCGAGCAAACUGGCUCAUCAGUUAUGUAAUGAAGUGAUGCAAGUCACGGAGGCUGACAUUGAAGAAUUUGAAGCUAAAUAUAGAGGGUCAGAUUCUGAGAAAACGGACUUGAAGGAACUCUACACAAAAUAUAAGGGCAACAUGAACAGGAAUAAUUAUCUCUUAUAUCAUAUUGUAAAAUCUGAAACAGUUCUCAUGUAGAUGGUUAGCUUGCAUUUUACGCUACAAUUACCUCAGAUCACUUCUUGUUGUAUCUUACACCAAU